CAGUCGGAUCCGCUCCGGCUUCACGCCUCUCGCUGGCUCUCCGGCUUUCUCCCUGGACACGCCGAGGCCAGGAAAUUGAGCUCUCAGGAAGGAGAGAUCCUGCUGCCUCCCAUCUUGGCUUUCCUCAUUCUGUGUUCUACUCAUGAGCCCUCACAGGCUGCAAAUGAGCAGUCUGUGAAGGUGUGGACAUGUGUGUGGAUCCUCAUCCGGCCCCAAAUACACACCCUAAACUCCACAUCUCAGGAGCAGCAGCUGGUGACGCCCACAGUCCUAAUUGCUUUUCUGCACUCAAGAGACGAUGCCCUCACCAGCUCCAGUUUUGUUGCUCAUUCAGAUCUUUUCCUGGAGUUUCACGGCCCUCACCCUUGGCUGGGACCGUCUUUGUAACCGUCUGGUUCAAAACCAAGUUAGAGGACAGAGUGGCAUACUUCAUCGAUGAGGCUCCUGAGACAGAGCCAAGACAGAAAACGAAUGUUGGAACACAGUGACCGGAGCUGAAAAAAGAUGGCUACAGCAUGGACUAGAAUCAUUGUCAUGGAAGGAAGUCCUCCCUCCAGGGACUUCUCUUGGGAUCAUCUCAACUUUCCCAUUGCGGUGUGCCUGUGGGUGAUGCCUCCUCAUCUCAUUCUCCUCUCUACUAAGAAGUCUCUCAUUUGGUGAGCAGUGUAGGCAGGGACUGGCUGAGGAUGCAAGGGGGGGAGAA
rnacentral:lncRNA from 1 species